rnacentral:rRNA from 1 species
GACGAACGCUGGCGGCGUGCUUAACACAUGCAAGUCGAACGGUGAAGGGGAGCUUGCUCCCCGGAUCAGUGGCGAACGGUGAGUAACACGUGGGCAACCUGCCCCAGACUUCGGGAUAACGCUUCGAAAGAGGUGCUAAUACCGGAUACGAACUCCUUGGGCAUCCCGGGAGUUGGAAAGUUUUUUCGGUCUGGGAUGGGCCCGCGGCCUAUCAGCUUGUUGGUGAGGUAACGGCUCACCAAGGCGACGACGGGUAGUCGGCCUGAGAGGGCGACCGGCCACACUGGGACUGAGACACGGCCCAGACUCCUACGGGAGGCAGCAGUGGGGAAUAUUGCGCAAUGGGCGAAAGCCUGACGCAGCAACGCCGCGUGAGGGAUGACGGCCUGGUGUAACUCUUCUAGCAGGAAGAAGCGAAGUAGACGGUACCUGCAGAAGAAGACGCCGG